rnacentral:rRNA from 1 species
AUGGUCCCGGCGUGUGAUCACCCCCCCCGGGGGGCUAACUUGUUGGAGAAAGUGAGUGAUCUCAUUGAUCCGAUCAUAGGGGCUUGGGAUGAACAACUCGUGAGAGAUAUGUUCUGGCCCGAUGAUGUCAAACAUAUCCUUCAAAUCCCUCUUCGGGAUGGUACUCAGGACUUCAUCGCUUGGCACUACGAUAAGAAAGGGAUUCACUCCUUCAAGAGCGCCUACAAACUCCAGAACCAGCUAGAGCGUACAAAGUGUGAUGGGGGAGUGGGUGGAAGCUCACUCGAAGCGGGAAACCUGGAGAGUACAAGUGAUGACUCGUGGAAAAGAUUGUGGAAGCUGCCAUGCCCUCGCAAUAUUCAGAUGUUUGCUUGGCGGCUCAAGCAUGAUUCCCUGGCUCUCCGCACCAACGUGGCGAGGAAGGGGAUCCCAUUGCCGAUACAAAAUGUCUUUUAUGUGGAAGGGCAGACGAGGAUGGCGCCCAUCUGUUCAUCAAGUGCAAGCACACCAAGGAGGUGUGGUGAGCGCUCGAGCUGGAGGAACAACGAGUCAUGUUGCAGAAGUUAG